GAGUGAAAUGAUGCUUACCAUCUUUCGGGACUUACCCAAAAAUGGGGAUAAUUUUUCACACUGAUCACUC
ensembl:snoRNA small nucleolar RNA, C/D box 2